rnacentral:rRNA from 1 species
AUGGCCGAGUUCGCUGUUAGCACCGUUCUUGCAAACGUGGGCAAUCUUGCUGUUCAGGGGACAAGUUUUGUAUGCGCGGUCACCUUGGAAGUGGCAGUCCUGAAAGAUGAGCUAAUGCGACUGCAGGCCUACCUCAAAGAGGCCGAGAGCAAACGGAGAUCUGGAAAUGCAAGAGUUGCUGUUCUUCUGAGCCAGAUUAGGGAUGCCGCAUAUGAGGCUGAGAACGCCAUCGAAGCUGCAGAGUACAUGAAGAAAAGAAACAUGAUAAAGAAGGGCUUCAAGGCUGCAGUCUCAAGGUAUGCUCGCUUACCGGGUGAUUUGACUACCCUUCGUAAAGUUGGUGUUAAAAUUCAGCGUGUAAGAAGGAAGCUCAAUGAGAUAUUUCAGAGUGUAGAACGCUUGAAUAUUGACUUGGAUAUUCAAGAUGUGGAUGAGUGUCUAGAAGAUUAUGACCUUGCACACCAAAACUUUGAGGGUGAUUUUGUCAUGGUUGGUUUCGAGAACGAGUACAAAGAAAUAGUCAAUAAGUUAGUUCAGGGGGGAAAUAUGCUUAGUGCUAUCUCCAUAGUUGCUAUGGGUGGUGCAGGAAAAACAACAGUUGCUAGAAAAGUGUAUACUGCAUCCGCAGUCAAACAACACUUUGAGGUGCUUGUUUGGGUGACUGUUUCUGAAAAAUUCAAGGUCAUUGAUUUACUAAAGGAAAUUGUGAAGCAAAUGCCUAGUGAUGUUGGUCUGUCUAUAAAUGAUGAAAUGAAUGAGUAUGAGGUGGGAAAGAAGAUCCAUGAUAUCCUCAUCCAGAAAAGAUACUUGGUAGUUCUCGAUGAUGUGUGGGAAACAGAUACAUGGGAGCAAAUAAAUAGAACAAUUAAGGCCUUUCCAGAUGCGGCUAACUCUAGUAGAGUACUAUUAACUACAAGAAAACAAGAUGUUGCGAAUCACGUUGAAAUGCCAACCCAUGUUCAUUCUUUGAGAUGUUUAGAUGAACAGAAAAGCUGGGAACUUCUUAGUAGCAAAGCUUUACCAUCAUACAAAAGGUCAGACAUACGUGAUCUGGAUAAGUUUGAAAUCUCAGGGAGAAAGCUUACAAAGAAAUGUGAUGGAUUACCGCUUGCACUUGCAGUUUUAGGGGGUUAUCUAUCAAAGAAUCUCAACACACAAGCAUGGUCCGAUGUACUGUUGGGCUGGCCAUCAACCAAAGACACACAGAUGAUGUGGGGCAUAAUAGCUCGCAGUUACAAGGACCUACCGAAUCACUAUUUGAGAUCCUGUUUUCUCUAUCUUGCUGCUUUUCCUGAGGAUUUCAUAAUAUCCGUGUCGGACCUUAUAAAUUUAUGGAUAGCAGAAAGCUUGAUUCCAUAUACACCAAAGCAUAUACUAGAAGAAACAGCACGUAAGUAUGUAACUGAGUUGGCUCAAAGAAGCUUGGUACAAGUUGUUGAAACAAAUGAUAUAUAUGGAUGGAUUGAGAAGAUAAAGAUUCAUGACAUCUUACGUGACUGGUGCAUAGAAGAAGCAACACAAGAUGGUUUUCUUGAUAUCAUCGAUGAGACUACUAGAGGACAAGAUGGUGCGCCUUCAUCUCAUAACCCGAUAUCCUAUCGUUCUUCUUUUCAAAAUUCGAGUGAGCAGAUUCUACAGGCACCACCUAAUCUCCGAGCUUUGUUUGGCUUUGGACUUUUAUCAGUAUCUUUUCCCAAGCUAAGAUUCCUAAGAGUUCUUCAUGUUGAGAAUGCGAGACUGGAGAAUUUCUCGGAAGUAAUUGGUGGGUGCGUUCACCUGCGACACCUCGGAUUGAGAAGAUGUAGAAAUGUGGUGAUUCCUUCUUCAGUCAGGAAACUCCUUUACUUGCAGACUAUAGAUCUGGCAGGGGUCUUUCGACAUGAAUCAGAAGUUUCAAGCUCCCUCUGGGAUAUACCUACUCUAAGGUAUGUAGAUAUUCCUAGAAUUUCUCUGCCCAGGAGUGUGCAAUUUCAAAAAAGCCUACGGGAGCUUCAUAUGUUCGCUUCUAUUUAUGAAAUUGAAAAAGAUCCGAUGCCGAUCCUGGAGAUGCUUCCUUGUCUUGUGAUGCUGGGGUUGAAUGGUUUUAAAGCUGAAACCAUGAGCUUCAAGGCCCAAGGGUUUCCUCGUCUGCAAGAGUUAACACUUGAAAUGUGUUCCAUUAAGUGGAGGAUGGAGGUUGGGGCAAUGCCGAAGCUAUUCCACCUAUCAUUUAAAAGAUGCCCGCAGAUGGACGGAAUCCCCAAGGGAUUAUUGCACCUUCCAUCCCUUAGGUCCGUAUCACUUCGUGAUUUGAGAAAAUACUAUUUGAGUGACAAUACAGUGAAAGGGCUCAAGCAGAAAGGAUGCGAGGUCAAAGAAAGUCGUACCCCGUUCUAA